rnacentral:lncRNA from 1 species
AAAAAUGUUAUUUUUGGUAAUGGUAGAUUGACAAACAAACUAAAUUUUACACUUGAUGGUAAUGUUUUAGAAAUUGUCAAGAUAUUUCAUAUUUAGGCAUUAGUUUUUCCAAAACAGGUAGUUUUAAAAGUGCUAAAAAUCAACUCAUUAGUAAAGCUACCAAAGCUAUGUAUGAAGUUCUAAAAAAAGGCCGCUUACAUAACCUGACAGUUUAAUGUCAGUACGAAAUGUUUGAUAAAAUUGUAACGCCUAUAUUGCUAUAUGGUUGUGAAAUUUGGGGAUUUAGUAAUAUUGAUGCAAUUUAAAGAGUGCUUUUGAAGUUUUGUAAACUUUUGUUAAACUUGAAAAAACCAACCCUAAGCUUUGUAGUAUAUGGAGAGCUAGGCGCUUAUCCUAUGUCAGUAUAUGUGGAAC